GUAUUGGAUGAAAGGAGAGAAGAUUAGCUUUCCCCUUGACAAGGAUGCAAGAAGCCCCCUGGCCUGCAUUACAUGCAUAGAGUUAAGGCAUUGACCCUACUUAGUAGAAACUAGCCAUCAUUUUAA
rnacentral:ncRNA from 1 species